rnacentral:lncRNA from 1 species
UCCUUCUUUCUUUCUCUCUCUGUUUCUCUUUCUUUCUUGAGGAAUAUUGACACUGGGCUAAUAUCUGUUGCCAAUCUUUCUCUCUUUUUUUUUUUCUCCCCAAAGCCCCAGUACAUAGUUGUAUAUCCUAGUUUUAAUUCCUUCUAGUUCUUCUAUGUGGGAUACCGCCAUAGCAUGGUUUGGUGAGUGGUGUGUAGGUCUGCGUCCAGGAUCCAAACUGGCAAACCCUGGGCUGCCGAAGUGGAGAACAUGAACUUAACCAGCCAACGGGCCAUCCCUGCCCUGCACAAUAGAAUGAGCAUCCAGGAAUCUUCUGGCUGAAAAGGGAUGAAGAUGCAACAUGGACCACAGCUUGCUUUACAGUCAAGGCUUAAAGAAGUGAACAAAAUGUUUAAGACCAUGAG